rnacentral:tRNA from 1 species
GUCAGGGUAGAGCAGUCCGGUAGCUCGUCACGCUCAUAACGUGAAGGUCGCGGGUUCAAAUCCCGCCCCUGCCUCCA